UACGGAGGAUGCAAGCGUUAUCCGGAUUCAUUGGGUUUAAAGGGUGCGUAGGCGGGAUGGUAAGUCAGGGGUGAAAGCCAACAGCUCAACUGUUGAAUUGCCUUUGAUACUGCUAUUCUUGAGUAUGUUUGAAGUGGGCGGAAUGUGACAUGUAGCGGUGAAAUGCGUAGAGAUGUCACAGAACACCGAUUGCGAAGGCAGCUCACUAAGCCAUUACUGACGCUGAGGCACGAAAGCGUGGGGAUCAAACAGG
rnacentral:rRNA from 1 species